CUAAAGCUCUUCCCCGUCCGUCCAAUAGUCAAUCCUCCAGGUGGCGAUGGUGUACGCACUCCAUCAACGCGCCAAAUUGCACACUCUUUUUUCACUUCAGUUUUUCUUUUAUUUUUUGAAAAAAUGGAAAUACAGAGAGAGACAGAGAGUGGUUGGUAGCCAAUAUAUAUAUAUAGAAUUUUGUUUUGUUUUUGUUUUGUUUCUUGGUAUUCACUCUCUGUAUUCUGUUUGGCGCUCGGACUUCUCGAAGGUACGAUCUUCAUAAACUUACACUACACUCCAACAAUGCUUGCUUAAUCACCAAGUCGACGCUUCGAUCAAUCUCACUUCUCCCAAUAUUGAUCAAUUUCGAUCCACCUAUCAAUAUAUCGACUCAUUUGAUCACAUCUACUAAUCAAUAAUCACCAAUACUUAUCCCCCAUUCUAGGGUUUCCAACUAAUCAAUUACUAUAUUUCGAUUCAUAUUAAUCUUAAUUUUGUCUCCAAUGGAGCUGUUUUUGAUCUAUCCAUUAGAGUGACUUGGAGGUUUGGGUGUGUGUGUGUGUGUGUGUGUCUCUCUCUCUCUCUCUCUCUCUCUCUCUCUCUAUAUAUAUAUAUAUAACUGUAAAGAGUAAUGGCGAGCGCCGGAGAUGAAGACGGCGUUGUUUUGAGCGACGUCGAGGCCGACGAUCAGGUUAGGGAGGUUCUCGCGGAGAAUUCGAAGUCCGAAUUGCAGGAAUCAUUCAAUCGGCUAAAAAUCAUCGCUCAUGAAGCGAUCAAGAAGCGCGACGAGGCGUUGCGCGAGAAAGAAGAUGCUUUAAUAUCAAACGAGAAGUUAUCGACAGAGUUAGCCAUUGCUUUGAAGGAGAGGGAUGAGUCUGCGAAAGCAAUUGAGACUGGGGCUCAGAUGUUGGUGACUGGGAUUGAGAUGAUAUCGAGAAAAGUGAGCAAUUUCAAGAAUUUUACUUCAGGUGGAUUGCCUAGGUCUCACAAGUACACUGGUUUGUCUGCUGUUGCUUAUGGAGUUAUCAAGAGAACGAAUGAGAUUGUUGAAGAACUUGUGAGGCAGAUUGAAUCGAUAGCCAAGUCUAGGAAUGAAGCCAGGGUGCAGAUGGAGCAGAGAAAUUAUGAGAUUGCUAUUGAAGUUUCUCAGCUUGAGGCAACGAUUAAUGGGUUGAGAGAAGAGGUUUCCAAGAAGACUUGUUUUAUAGAUAAUUUGGAGAAAUCUGUAGCUGAAAAGGAUGGGAAGAUAUCUGAGGUGGAAAAGCAGGUCUUGGGGCUGAGGCAAAUGGUCAGUGAUUAUGAUCAUAAGUUGAGGAAUUUAGAGUUGAAGAUGGACUCGCAAAGGCCUCUAUUGGUUGAUCAUUUAAAUUAUGUAUCGAAAAUUCAUGACAGGCUUUAUGAUGUUGUCAAGAUAGUUGAUGUUCCUAAUAAAAUGGACCAGUCGCAUUUGUCGGGGUCCAUGUUUCUACCAAAAGAAACAGGCUUGGAGGAGAAUAUUCGUGCUUCAUUAGCAGGGAUGGAAUCUAUGUACAAGUUAACUAGAAUUGUAGUUGAAAAAACAAAGGGUUUAGUAGAGGAGAGGAGUCGUGAAGUGAAAAGUCUUAGCGAAACUGCUUCUCGGUUAGUUAAGGAGAAAGAGCAUAUUGGGUCUCGUCUUAGACUCGCUUUGUCAAGAAGGAUGACAACAGGUUUGUCAUCAAAGACAAAUGAAUUGUUUAAAGUUGCAGAAAAUGGCUUCAGAGAGGCUGGGAUAGAUUUUAAAUUUUGUAAUCAUCUUGGGGAUGGGAAAGAUGAAAUAUAUGAUUUGGCUGGUGCUUUGGACAAUAUCAUUAAGCAAUCUCAGCUUGAGAUCAUAGAGCUGCAGCAUUCUGUGGAGGAGCUAAGGGCAGAGACAAGUUUACUCAAAGAGCAUGUGGAGGCUCAAACCAAGGAGCUAAACAAUAGGAAGCAACAUGUAGAGGAACUUAAAGAGAAGGAGAGAGUGUCAAAUGAAAAUGUUGAAGGACUUAUGAUGGAUAUUGCUGCUGCUGAAGAAGAAAUUACGAGAUGGAAAGUGGCAGCACAGCAGGAAGCUGCUGCAGGCAAAGCUGUUGAACAAGAGUUUGUGGCACAGUGUUUAGGACGAUGUGGCGCUGUUUUAGGUCCUCAAAAGUUUGGCUUGUCAAUGCCGUUGUAUUACCUAGUUUAAAAGUGCUUGCAUGGCAUCUACGAGGGGUAGGGCUCCUGAUAAGCCAGUCAAGCCCAGCUUAGAGGUGUUUAUGUUCAGGCUUGGAUAUACCUUUUCUUGGAUAGUUGUCAGCCCUACGCCAGGAGCUCGAGGAGGCAAAACAAGCUGUGUUGGAGUUAGAGCAAAAGCUCAAAUUCAAAGAAGAAACAGCAGCUGCUGCCAUGGCAGUAAAAGACGCGGCUGAGAAAUCCUUGAGAUUGGCGGACUUGAGGGCGUCGAGGCUCAGGGAUAGGAUUGAGGAGCUGACACAUCAGCUCGAGCAGCUCGACCCUCGAGAAAACUCGAGGGGCCUAAGUGGCCCUAGAUAUGUAUGUUGGCCACGGCAAUGGCUGCGGUUGGACUUGCUUGGUUUCCAACGAUCUGAUACACAACCACAAA